GCCAAAGGGGACGGACUGUAAAUCCGUUAGCUUAGCUUUCAGUGGUUCGAAUCCACUCUCCUCCA
rnacentral:tRNA from 1 species